UUUUAGUUUACAUACUUCAGUACCAUCAUGAACUUCAAGAGCAUUGUGGUUCUCUUUACUCUCCUUCAAACUAUUCUAUCAAAGAAGUUCUUAAUUGACACGAUUGAAGACCCUGCUAACUUGGAAGCAAUUAAGGGUGUACCUCGAGCUGAUUUGGAUUUGGCUGGAUUACAAGUGAUAAAAAGCAUAGACGAUCCUACUAAGGGUGCCGAUUAUCAAUGUGUAAGCUGUCCACGAACAAAAUGAUUUGAAACAUAACAUGUAAACAUAAUAAAUAUUAAUAAAUGUAUAAAAUAGAUCA